rnacentral:misc_RNA from 1 species
CAUGUGCACGUCCAACCUUUUCUAUUACACACCCGUGCACCUUUUGUAGGUCCUCGAAAGAGGAUCUAUGUAUUUCAUCAUCACACCUAUCGUAUGUCUAGAAUGUCAUCGUCGACCACUGGGCGGCGAAAUAAAUAAUACAACUUUCAGCAACGGAUCUCUUGGCUCUCGCAUCGAUGAAGAACGCAGCGAAUUGCGAUAAGUAAUGUGAAUUGCAGAUUUUCAGUGAAUCAUCGAAUCUUUGAACGCACCUUGCGCUCCUUGGUAUUCCGAGGAGCAUGCCUGUUUGAGUGUCAUUAAAUUCUCAACCAUGACUUUGUUGACAUGGCUUGGAGUUGGGGGUUGCUGGCUUGUUUGUCAGCUCUCCUGAAAUACAUUAGCGGUGGACAAGCAAGGCCUUCCGACGUGAUAAUGAUCGUCGUGGGGCGGAGCAUCAACGUCUGUCUGCUUCUAAAUCCCAGAUGCCUUAGCUAGACAUCAUUUCGAACGCUUGACCUCAAAUCAGGUAGGACUACCCGCUGAACUUAAGCAUA